ensembl:piRNA 21ur-5421 ncRNA
UGUAUCGAAUAAGCAAUCUUU